UUUCCCUCCACUUGUUUGUUUCCUUGAUUAGCAGUUGCUCCACACCUGUUUCAGUUCUUCCUGAUUACCUUCCUCGUGCAUUUAAACCCCGUGUCUUCCUCAGGUCUAGGUCUGCUAUUGUUCUGUUCUCCCUGUGGAUUUAUUAAAGCCUCUAAUCGAAUCUAAAGAUGCCGUCCGUUCACAGACGAGUGGCUCUAAUCAAACAUGUUUCUCUGGGAAGAAUGAGUGCUGUCUGGACGCAGUGGACUCUGCAGCACACAUGCUCAGUCCAGUGUUGACCUGAAUGAAUGGAUCACACACACACACACACACACACACAGAUGAGGAUGUCGGGACAAUGGCCUGGUCUCAGGGGCUUCUGUAUUGUCUGAGUUCAUGUGGAAGCUGACCCUUCGUUCCCUUCCCACACCCCACCUGAGAGAAACCUGCAUCAGUAUCUCUCGUACUGACAUAGCUACAGGUCAGUCUGAGGUCAGUGUGCUGCUCACCUGUCAGCAGGUGGGACACAAUGACACACACACACACACACACACACUCUGAUGAACUUUUGCUCAUGAGUGCAUUGCUGGAAUGUGUGUGAGAGUGAACAGGAGAUGAGGUCACAGGAAGUCAAGCCCUGGCUGCAAUUUUGUGGAAAAAGGACACUUCCUGUCCGCUUCCCGAGUCCGUUAUGUGAAGUUUCCGUCAGCAGUGUAAAGAAAUGAAAAGUGUGCUGGUUGCUGUGGCAGCUAAUCUCUCUCCAUCAUCGUGGAAACACACAACGGGAUACAGGACAGCUGGAGCUGUGUGUGUGUGUG